rnacentral:rRNA from 1 species
AACGAACGCUGGCGGCAGGCUUAACACAUGCAAGUUGAACGGGAUUUGAUUGUAGCUUGCUAUAAUUAAUGAGAGUAGCGCACUGGUGAGUAACACGUGGGAACAUACCUUGAAGUGGGGGACAACAGUUGGAAACGACUGCUAAUACCGCAUAAUCCCUGAGGGGGAAAGAUUUUAUCGCUGAAAGAUGGGCUCGCGUCUGAUUAGAUAGUUGGUGAGGUAACGGCUCACCAAGUCGACGAUCAGUAGCCGGACUGAGAGGUUGAACGGCCACAUUGGGACUGAGAUACGGCCCAGACUCCUACGGGAGGCAGCAGUGAGGAAUAUUGGGCAAUGGGCGCAAGCCUGACCCAGCAAUGCCGCGUGAAGGAUGACGGUCUUCGGAUUGUAAACUUCUUUUAUCAAGGACGAAUAAUGACGGUACUUGAAGAAUAAGCCACGGCUAACUACGUG